CAAUAACGAGUUUACAAAUAAUUGGGACUCGCUGGAUGAACAGAAACCACUAUUCAUUCCAUAUGUGUUCCACUCUGCUUUGAGAAAGGUGCUGAAAACCAGAUCAAGAAUACAGAAAAUGACUGUUCAUUUAGUGCAGUUGGGAUUUCUGACUCAGGCUCUGGUGUCAGCAGUUGAAACCACAUAAAAUCAGAAUGAGGCUGGACCUCCCAGUUGACUUCCAGCUCAUUGGACAAUGAGCUAUGCCUUUAAAAGGAAUAUUUUUAUGUUCACAUUUGUGGAGCACGUACGUUGCUGUUUUCCGCUCUAAACUAAAAGCCAGAAGAUACAAAUGCAUAAAGCAGGUGACGCAGAAGAUGUUAUCAGAUUGAAAUGAAAUGACACAAACGUG